rnacentral:rRNA from 1 species
AUUGAACGCUGGCGGCAGGCCUAACACAUGCAAGUCGAACGAGUGGCGGACGGGUGAGUAAUGUAUGGGAACCUGCCCAAUAGAGGGGGAUAACUACUGGAAACGGUGGCUAAUACCGCAUACUAUUGGAUGGGCCCAUAUGGGAUUAGCUAGUUGGUGGGGUAACGGCUCACCAAGGCGACGAUCCCUAGCUGGUUUGAGAGGAUGACCAGCCACACUGGGACUGAGACACGGCCCAGACUCCUACGGGAGGCAGCAGUGGGGAAUAUUGCACAAUGGGCGCAAGCCUGAUGCAGCCAUGCCGCGUGUAUGAAGAAGGCCUUAGGGUUGUAAAGUACUUUCAGCAGGGAGGCGUUAUCCGCAGAAGAAGCACCGGCUAACUCCGUGCCAGCAGCCGCGGUAAUAC